UAGCCUAGUGGUUAAGGCUAUGGACCGCCAAUCCGGAGACGGCGGGUUCGAUUCCCGC
rfam:Aedes albopictus isolate Foshan contig6731, whole genome shotgun sequence.